CGCGUAGGUGGUUUGGUAAGUCGGAUGUGAAAGCCCCGGGCUUAACCUGGGAAUUGCAUUCGAUACUGCUUGACUAGAGUAUGGUAGAGGGAAGUGGAAUUCCAGGUGUAGCGGUGAAAUGCGUAGAUAUCUGGAGGAACAUCAGUGGCGAAGGCGACUUCCUGGACCAAUACUGACACUGAGGUGCGAAAGCGUGGGGAGCAAACA
rnacentral:rRNA from 1 species